rnacentral:rRNA from 1 species
CCUACGGGUGGCAGCAGUGGGGAAUAUUGGACAAUGGGGGGAACCCUGAUCCAGCGAUGCCGCGUGAGUGAAGAAGUAUUUCGGUAUGUAAAGCACUAUCAGCAGGGAAGAAAGAAAUGACGGUACCCCUUGAAUCAGCCACGGCUAACUACGUGCCAGCAGCCGCGGUAAUACGUAGGGGGUAAGCGUUGUCCGGAUUUACUGGGUGUAAAGGGCGUGCAGCCGGAGAGUUAAGUCAGAUGUGAAAUCCACGGGCUCAACCCGUGAACUGCAUUUGAAACUGUUUACCUUGAGUGUCGGAGAGGUGAGCAGAAUUCCUUGUGUAGCGGUGAAAUGCGUAGAGAUGAGGAAGAACACCAGUGGCGAAGGCGGAUUACUGGACAAUAACUGACGGUGAGGCGCGAAAGCGUGGGGAGCAAACAGGAUUAGAUACCCCAGUAGUC